rnacentral:rRNA from 1 species
AGAAUGAAGAGUUUGAUCCUGGCUCAGGAUGAACGCUAGCGACAGGCUUAACACAUGCAAGUCGAGGGGCAGCACUGGU